AGCUCUAUCGCCAAAAGGUAAGGCACAGGACUUUGACUCCUGCAUUUGUUGGUUCGAUUCCAACUAGGGCUG
rnacentral:tRNA from 1 species